GGCCUCUUAGUGUAGUGGUUCAUCACGUCCUCCGCAUUACUUGAUUCUAACAUCAAGACUGGUUGGAAGGUCGCAGGUUCGAUUCCUGCAGAGGCCG